GUUUCCGUAGUGUAGUGGUUAACACGUUCGCCUCAUACACUAAAGGUCCCCAGUACGAAACUGGGAGGAAACA
rfam:Danio rerio chromosome 17, GRCz11 reference primary assembly.